AUUUAACGCUGGCGGCAGGCCUAAUACAUGCAAGUCGAACGAGUGGCGGACUGGUGAGUAAUGUCUGGGAAACUGCCUGACGGAGGGGGAUACCUACUGGAAACGGUCGCUAAUACCGCAUACCAUCGGAUGUGCCCAGAGGGGAUUAGCUAGCAGGUGGGGUAACGGCUCACCUAUGCGACGAUCCCUAGCUGGUCUGAGAGGAUGACCAGCCACGUUGGAACUGUGACACGGUCCAGACUCCUACGGGAGGCAGCAGUGGGGAAUAUUGCACAAUGGGCGCAAGCCUGAUGCAGCCAUGCCGCGUGUAUGAAGAAGGCCUUCGGGUUGUAAAGUACUUUCAGCGGGGAGGCGUUACCCGCAGAAGAAGCACCGGCUAACUCCGUGCCAGCAGCCGCGGUAAUUC
rnacentral:rRNA from 1 species